rnacentral:rRNA from 1 species
GAUGAACGCUGGCGGCGUGCCUAAUACAUGCAAGUCGAGCGAACAGACGAGGAGCUUGCUCCUCUGACGUUAGCGGCGGACGGGUGAGUAACACGUGGAUAACCUACCUAUAAGACUGGGAUAACUUCGGGAAACCGGAGCUAAUACCGGAUAAUAUAUUGAACCGCAUGGUUCAAUAGUGAAAUACGGUUUUUCUGUCACUUAUAGAUGGAUCCUCGCCGCAUUAGCUAGUUGGUAAGGUAACGGCUUACCAAGGCGACGAUGCGUAGCCGACCUGAGAGGGUGAUCGGCCACACUGGAACUGAGACACGGUCCAGACUACUACGGGAGGCAGCAGUAGGGAAUCUUCCGCAAUGGGCGAAAGGCUGACGGAGCAACGCCGCGUGAGUGAUGAAGGUCUUCGGAUCGUAAAACUCUGUUAUUAGGGAAGAACAAAUGUGUAAGUAACUAUGCACGUCUUGACGGUACCUAAUCAGAAAGCCACGGCUAACUACGUG